AUGUGACGAAGUGGGACUGUUCUUAAUGUUUCCUCUGAAUAGUGUGGGGGUGCCUCAGUUUCCCCUAGGCAGUUCUUAAGUAUCUAGGUGGUGGGGUAAGGGUGUAUGAUCAUUGCAGUGCCCUAGAGGGCAGGUGUGUGCAGGGAUCUGGACACAGAGAAUGGCCGACACCCUGUUUCCUGGCAACUGAUGGCCUGGGCCCUUCCCCCCCCUGCAAGGUGAGAGCUGAAGGGUUGGAGAACAAAGGAAUCAGGUGACCUCCUGGCCCGGGAAAGGAACAAAGCCCAGAGGAGGAGGGGCUGGAGGGGGGUUUUUCAGUUUGGGGCUGGCUGGGACAUGGAGUGAAGUGCAGACGUGGUUGUCUGGCUCACUGCCCCCCAGAAUGGACCCAGCUGAGGGGUCCCGUUCUCUGCACCUGCAAGCUCUGUUUUAGACCAUGUUCCUGUCGUCUAAUAAACCUUCUGUUUUA